rnacentral:lncRNA from 1 species
CAAACUUUUGAUUGGAUAAUCUUCUCUUGAGGGAUUAUGUUCGUCAAGAUUCCACAAACGUACGGGUUCGCUGUACAAGUAAUAAUCGUGAUGAGGGAGUUAUCGUUCCACAAGGAAUAAUGAUCAAUUUUAGCAUAUUUGAUAUAUUUAAAUUCGUGUUUGUAACCAAAAGACGAUCGAAUGAAUAUCUAAAUAAUUUUUAUAACUAAAACUUAUGAAAUCAAUGAAAAUUGGUUUUUGAAAAAAAUCAGUGUGCACGUAUUGGAUUUCUAACGCCAUUGAUUAAUUCUAAUUCUCAACCAAUAAUAAUUAUCUUAAUUCAUGCAAUUGCGCCGAUCGAUAAUUCCACUUUUAUUUAUUAUUCUUUCCAAAGAUAUAAUAAACUUAUUAUUACCACGAGACGAUCCUAUUUCUAGUUCGAAUUCAUAUGUCAAACAUGCAUUGACAUUUAGAAUUGUCACAUAUGAUCGCACACGCCACAAAUAUUAUUCCUAAUAUUUAUUGUCCGUGUAUCUCAAUAAUAAUGUUCUAUCUAUCGUGAGUUUUUUAACACUACGAAUAAGCAACUUAUUGUCAUAAUGGUGCGCAAACAUCAAAACAAUGUAAUUAUGGAUAUUAAUGGAAUCACACCGCAAAAAUUAAGAUAAAAACAUAGGUUUCAAAUUAAAACUAAGAAUUAAACAAUUUUAUCAUCCAUCCAAUACAUGAAAAGACUUAGCUUAGCAUAAUUUUGCGAUUAAACAUAUAAAAGAGGAAAGAGAUCACCGAGAGUCGACGGAACAUGAUUAACUUGUAAAGGCCGAGCGUGUAUUUAUUUUUUUUCCAAUUUCUGUGCAUUUUGCCGUGUGUAAUUUCACCCUUGCAGUCACCAAUUUUGUAUCUAGAUUAAAUAAUUCAGCCACCCAAUGUGUGUAUCUAUUCAAUUCCAACAGCUCAAUUUUUUUCUGUCUUCUCCAAAUUAAGCAGCUUGUAUGUAUAUACGUUGACCCCCCCCCCCCCCCCCCCCCCAAAGCUGCCCUUUUUCUCUUCAGUUGGCGUCUUCCUCUUUGUGUCUCUCCAACAAAUACCAGGUAGCCGCAAUUCCUUUUCAAUUUCUCCACUUUUUUUUCCCUUAAACUGCCGUUAUUGUUUUGUGUAUAUAUAAUUUAAGACGGCAACCAUUUUUUAUUUUUUUUUCAACUCCCCUCCAAUCUGCUGCCCAAUUAUAUGUGUGAAUCCCUCAACAAUUUCCCAAGCAGCUGCCUUUUAUACUCCAACCGUAGCCAACGUCUUCCACUCCAAUUUUCUCCCCAGUUGGCUGCCAAAAAAAAUCCUCCAAGUAGAUCUCUCUUCCACCUGGCCGUGUGUGUAUAUAUAUUUUAUAGACCAGCAGCCCCUUUUAUUUUACUCCAAUUUGAAGUCCCCAAAAAUUAAUCCCUUCAAUCUCUU